UCGAACGGUAGCAGGUAAGUACUUGUACUUAUGCUGACGAGUGGCGGACGGGUGAGUAAUGUUUGGGAAUCUAGCUUAUGGAGGGGGAUAACGACGGGAAACUGUCGCUAAUACCGCGUAGUAUCGAGAGAUGAAAGUGCGGGACCUUAGGGCCGCAUGCCAUAGGAUGAGCCCAAGUGGGAUUAGGUAGUUGGUAGGGUAAAGGCCUACCAAGCCUGCGAUCUCUAGCUGGUCUGAGAGGAUGGCCAGCCACACCGGGACUGAGACACGGCCCGGACUCCUACGGGAGGCAGCAGUGGGGAAUAUUGCGCAAUGGGGGCAACCCUGACGCAGCCAUGCCGCGUGAAUGAAGAAGGCCUUCGGGUUGUAAAGUUCUUUCGGUGUUGAGGAAGGAUGUUGUGUUAAUAGCGCAACAAAUUGACGUUAAACACAGAAGAAGCACCGGCUAACUCCGUGCCAGCAGCCGCGGUAAUACGGAGGGUGCGAGCGUUAAUCGGAAUAACUGGGCGUAAAGGGCACGCAGGCGGCUAUUUAAGUGAGGUGUGAAAGCCCCGGGCUUAACCUGGGAAUUGCAUUUCAGACUGGGUAGCUAGAGUACUUUAGGGAGGGGUAGAAUUCCACGUGUAACGGUGAAAUGCGUACAGAUGUGGAGGAAUACCUAACGCGAAGGCAACCCCCUGGGAAUGUACUGACGCUCAAGUGCGAAAGCGUGGGGAACAGACUCGAUUAGAUACGCUGGUAGUCC
rnacentral:rRNA from 1 species